UAGGAUAGAGGCCUACCAUGGUGGUAACGGGUAACGGGGUGUUAGGGCACGACACCGGAGAGGGAGCCUGAGAAACGGCUACCACAUCCAAGGAUGGCAGCAGGCGCGCAAAUUACCCAAUCCCGACACGGGGAGGUAGUGACAAUAAAUAACAAUACGGGGUUCUUUCGGAUCUCGUAAUUGGAAUGAGUACAAUUUAAAUCUCUUAACGAGGAACAAUUGGAGGGCAAGUCUGGUGCCAGCAGCCGCGGUAAUUCCAGCUCCAAUAGCGUAUAUUAAAGUUGUUGCAGUUAAAAAGCUCGUAGUUGAAUUUCGGGGUUAGUAGGUUGGUCAUGCCUCUGGUAUGUACUGGUCUCACUGAUUCCUCCUUCCUUAUGAACCGUAAUGCCAUUAAUUUGGUGUUGCGGGGAAUUUGGACUGUUACUUUGAAAAAAUUAGAGUGUUUAAAGCAGNCUAACGCUUGAAUACAUUAGCAUGGAAUAAUGAAAUAGGACGUUCGAUCUUAUUUUGUUGGUUUCUAGGAUUGACGUAAUGAUUAAUAGGGAUAGUUGGGGGCAUUAGUAUUCAAUUGUCAGAGGUGAAAUUCUUGGAUUUAUUGAAGACUAACUACUGCGAAAGCAUUUGCCAAGGAUGUUUUCAUUAAUCAAGAACGAAAGUUAGGGGAUCGAAGACGAUCAGAUACCGUCGUAGUCUUAACCAUAAACUAUGCCGACUAGGGAUCGGAUG
rnacentral:rRNA from 1 species